rnacentral:rRNA from 1 species
AUUGAACGCUGGCGGCAGGCCUAACACAUGCAAGUCGAACGAGUGGCGGACGGGUGAGUAAUGUCUGGGCAACUGCCCGAUGGAGGGGGAUAACUACUGGAAACGGUAGCUAAUACCGCAUACCAUCGGAUGUGCCCAGAUGGGAUUAGCUAGUGGGUGGGGUAAAGGCUCACCAAGGCGACGAGCCCUAGCUGGUCGGAGAGGAUGACCGGCAACACUGGAACUGAGACACGGGCCAGACUCCUACGGGAGGCAGCAGUGGGGAAUAUUCCACAAGGGGCGCAAGCCUGAUGCAGCAAUGCCGCGUGUAUGAAGAAGGCUUUCGGGUUGUAAAGUACUUUCAGCGGGGAGGCGUUACCCGCAGAAGAAGCACCGGCUAACUCCGUGCCAGCAGCCGCGGUAAUUC